rnacentral:misc_RNA from 1 species
UACGGAGGGCGCAAGCGUUGCUCGGAAUCACUGGGCGUAAAGCGUACGCAGGCGGGACGUCAAGUCGGAUGUGAAAGCCCAGGGCUCAACCCUGGAACUGCAUUCGAAACUGGCGACCUUGAGUACGGGAGAGGGAAGCGGAAUUCCUGGUGUAGAGGUGAAAUUCGUAGAUAUCAGGAGGAACACCGGUGGCGAAAGCGGCUUCCUGGCCCGAUACUGACGCUCAUGUACGAAAGCGUGGGGAGCAAACAGG